UCUAUUAUGGCAGAAGUUAAUGCGAUGAGCUUAAAAUUCAUUUAUAAAUAAAUUUAUUUUUAUAGAA
rnacentral:tRNA from 1 species